ACCAGACUCCUACGGGAGGCAGCAGUGGGGGAUAUUGCACAAUGGGGGGAACCCUGAUGCAGCGACGCCGCGUGGGUGAAGAAGCGCCUCGGCGCGUAAAGCCCUGUCAGCAGGGAAGAAAAUGACGGUACCUGAAGAAGAAGCCCCGGCUAACUACGUGCCAGCAGCCGCGGUAAUACGUAGGGGGCAAGCGUUAUCCGGAUUUACUGGGUGUAAAGGGGGCGCAGACGGCGAUGCAAGCCAGGAGUGAAAGCCCGGGGCCCAACCCCGGGACUGCUCUUGGAACUGCGUGGCUGGAGUGCAGGAGGGGCAGGCGGAAUUCCUGGUGUAGCGGUGAAAUGCGUAGAUAUUAGGAGGAACACCAGUGGCGAAGGCGGCCUGCUGGACGAUGACUGACGUUGAGGCUCGAAAGCGUGGGGAGCAAACAGGAUUAGAUACCCUAGUA
rnacentral:rRNA from 1 species